UUAACACAUGCUAGUCGAGGGGCAGCGGGGGCGUAGCAAUAUGCCUGCCGGCGACCGGCGCACGGGUGAGUAACACGUAUGUAACCUGCCCUAUGCAGGGGGAUAACCCGGAGAAAUCCGGCCUAAUACCGCGUAACACCUUUGGGGAGCAUUCCCUUGGGGUUAAAGGAGAGAUCCGGCAUAGGAUGGACAUGCGUCGCAUUAGGUAGACGGCGGGGUAACGGCCCACCGUGCCGACGAUGCGUAGGGGUUCUGAGAGGAAGGCCCCCCACACUGGUACUGAGACACGGACCAGACUCCUACGGGAGGCAGCAGUGAGGAAUAUUGGUCAAUGGCCGAGAGGCUGAACCAGCCAAGUCGCGUGAGGGAAGAAUGUCCUAAGGAUUGUAAACCUCUUUUGUCGGGGAGCAAAAAGGCUCUGCGGAGUCGUAUUGAGAGUACCCGAAGAAAAAGCAUCGGCUAACUCCGUGCCAGCAGCCGCGGUAAUACGGAGGAUGCGAGCGUUAUCCGGAUUUAUUGGGUUUAAAGGGUGCGCAGGCGGCGUGCCAAGCAAGCGGUAAAAUAGCGGGGCUCAACCCCGUCGAGCCGUUUGAACUGGCGCGCUUGAGUUCAGGCGAGGUAGGCGGAAUUCGUGGUGUAGCGGUGAAAUGCAUAGAUAUCACGAGGAACUCCGAUUGCGAAGGCAGCUUACCAGUCUGCGACUGACGCU
rnacentral:rRNA from 1 species